rnacentral:rRNA from 1 species
ACUCCUACGGGAGGCAGCAGUGGGGAAUAUUGCACAAUGGGCGCAAGCCUGAUGCAGCCAUGCCGCGUGUAUGAAGAAGGCCUUCGGGUUGUAAAGUACUUUCAGCAGUGAGGAAGGUGGGUAUGUUAAUAGCAUACUCAUUUGUACGUUAGCUGCAGAAGAAGCACCGGCUAACUCCGUGCCAGCAGCCGCGGUAAGUACGGAGGGUGCGAGCGUUAAUCGGAAUUACUGGGCGUAAAGCGCAUGCAGGUGGUUUGUUAAGUCAGAUGUGAAACGCCCGGGGCUCAACCUCGGAAUUGCAUUUGAAACUGGCAAACUAGAGUACUGUAGAGGGGGUAGAAUUUCAGGUGUAGCGGUGAAAUGCGUAGAGAUCUGAAGGAUACCGGUGGCGAAGGCGGCCCCUGGACAGAUACUGACACUCAGAUGCGAAAGCGUGGGAGCAAACAGGAUUAGAUACCCCUGGUAGACUGUCA